GCCAGCAUGGUAUAGUGGUUUGAGUGUUCAGCUAUAACUCUGGAAACGAGGGUUCAAUUCCCUGUUUGUCA